rnacentral:lncRNA from 1 species
AACCACCAAGUGCUAAUGAUUUGAUCAUACAGCUUACAACCCAAUUAGAUCAGGCGGAAUUACAAGGGAGGGUCCUUAUUGGUGAGGGAGAUGACAAUACUAAUGUAGGGCAACACGGAGAAUGGAGAUUUUGCGUAGUGGGUCGUCUCUUUUCUGAUAGGGCUGUUAACUUUGAUGCUUUCCAACAUAUAAUGGCCAUUGCUUGGAGACCUGAUCCUGGGAUGUUUGUCAAAGAACUGGACAAUAAUAUUUUCAUUUUUUAGUUUUUCCAUGCCUACGGCAUUACAAAGGUUUUGAAUGAUGGUCCAUGAACUACCUAAUUAGGAGUAAAUUACGUAAUCAUAGGGAUUUGUAUAACUAACAGAUCUGAUAUAUAUUAUUUUGUGUACAUGUUUAUUUUAUUUCCUUAGAAUAGGAUUCCUUCUUUUUUCUCUCCUGAUUUUGUAUUGUAAAUAUAUCUAUAUAUAACCUCCUUUUCAGAGAAGAAUACACAACAACUGAAUCAUUCACGG